rnacentral:rRNA from 1 species
UACGAAGGGGGCUAGCGUUGCUCGGAAUUACUGGGCGUAAAGGGCGCGUAGGCGGGUUUUUAAGUCAGGGGUGAAAUCCUGGAGCUCAACUCCAGAACUGCCUUUGAUACUGAAGAUCUUGAGUUCGGGAGAGGUGAGUGGAACUGCGAGUGUAGAGGUGAAAUUCGUAGAUAUUCGCAAGAACACCAGUGGCGAAGGCGGCUCACUGGCCCGAUACUGACGCUGAGGCGCGAAAGCGUGGGGAGCAAACAGG